AUCAUUACCGAGUGAGGGCGUGAGCCCGACCUCCACCCCAUGUUUUCCGACCCCCGUUGCCUCGGGGGCGACCCGGCCGCCGCGCCGGGGCCCCCGGCGGACCCGUCAACUCUGCAUCGUUGCGUCUGAGCGGAUGAAUCAGUCAAUCAAAACUUUCAACAACGGAUCUCUUGGUUCUGGCAUCGAUGAAGAACGCAGCGAAAUGCGAUAAGUAAUGUGAAUUGCAGAAUUCAGUGAAUCAUCGAAUCUUUGAACGCACAUUGCGCCCUCUGGUAUUCCGGAGGGCAUGCCUGUUCGAGCGUCAUUACACCACUCCAGCCUCGCUGGGUAUUGGGUGCCGCGGCCUCCGCGCGCCUCAAAGUCGCCGGCUGAGUCGACUCUCUCUAAGCGUUGUGGCAUCACGUUCUCGCUUCCGGGAUGGGUCGGGUCUUACGCCGUUAAAGCCUUCCACCAAAGGUUGACCUCGGAUCAGG
rnacentral:rRNA from 1 species